rnacentral:rRNA from 1 species
GACAGAGGAUGCAAGCGUUAUCCGGAAUUAUUGGGCGUAAAGCGUCCGCAGGUGGCUGUUCAAGUCUGCUGUCAAAGCGCAGAGCUUAACUCUGUACAGGCGGUGGAAACUGAAGAGCUAGAGUAUGGUAGGGGUAGAGGGAAUUCCCGGUGUAGCGGUGAAAUGCGUAGAUAUCGGGAAGAACACCAGUGGCGAAAGCGCUCUACUGGGCCAUAACUGACACUCAGGGACGAAAGCUAGGGGAGCGAAUGGG